GAUGAAGAACGCAGUGAAAUGCGAUAAGUAAUGUGAAUUGCAGAAUUCAGUGAAUCAUCGAAUCUUUGAACACACCUUGCGCCCUUUGGCCAUUCCGAAGGGCAUGCCUGUUUGAGUAUCAUGAACACCUCAACUCUCAUGGCUCGCCAUGAUGAGCUUGGAUUUGGGGGUCUUGCUGGCCUGUGGUCGGCUCCUCUCAAAUGGAUCAGCUUGCCAGUGUUUGGUGGCAUCACAGGUGUGAUAACUAUCUGCGCUUGUGGUUUUCCAUCAGAUAACCUUCAGUGAUGGAGGUUCGCUGGAGCUCAUAAACGUCUCCCCUAAGCGGGGACAGCCCUUUGAAUGUUUGAUCUCAAAUCAGGUAGGACUACCCGCUGAACUUAAGCAUAUCAAUAAGCGGAGGA
rnacentral:misc_RNA from 1 species